GCGUGAGUGAAGAAGGCCCUAGGGUUGUAAAGCUCUUUCAGUCGUGAAGAUGGUGACUGUAGCGACAGAAGAAGCCCCGGCUAACUCCGUGCCAGCAGCCGCGGUAAUACGGAGGGGGCUAGCGUUGUUCGGAUUUACUGGGCGUAAAGCGCACGUAGGCGGAUCGAUCAGUCAGGGGUGAAAGGCCUGGGCUCAACCUAGGAACUGCCUUUGAUACUAUUGAUCUAGAGUCCGGGAGAGGUGAGCGGAAUUCCAAGUGUAGAGGUGAAAUUCGU
rnacentral:rRNA from 1 species